UACGGGGGGGGCAAGCGUUGUUCGGAAUUACUGGGCGUAAAGGGCUCGUAGGCGGCCAACUAAGUCAGACGUGAAAUCUCUCGGCUUAACCGGGGAACUGCGUCUGAUACUGGAUGGCUUGAGUUUGGGAGAGGGAUGCGGAAUUCCAGGUGUAGCGGUGAAAUGCGUAGAUAUCUGGAGGAACACCGGUGGCGAAGGCGGCAUCCUGGACCAACACUGACACUGAGGAGCGAAAGCCAGGGGAGCAAACGGG
rnacentral:rRNA from 1 species